rnacentral:rRNA from 1 species
AUGAACGCUGGCGGCGUGCCUAAUACAUGCAAGUCGAGCGAACGGACGCCUAUCUUGCUUCUCUGAUGUUAGAGGCGGACGUGUGAGUAACACGUGCAUAACCUACCUAUAAGACUGGGUUAACUUCGUGAAACCGGUGCUAAUACCGGAUAAUAUUUUCAACCUCAUGGUUCAAAAGUUAAAGCCGGUCUUGCUGUCACUUAUAGAUGUAUCCGCGCUGCAUUAGCUAGUUGGUAAGGUAACUGCUUACCAAGGCAACGAUGCAUAGCCGACCUGAGAGGGUGAACGGGGACACUGGGACUGAGAGGCGGGACAGACACCGACGGGAGGCAGAAGUAGGGAAGGGAGCGAGAUGGGCGAAAGACUGAAGGAGCAACGCAGGGUGAGUGAUGAAGGUCUUCGGAUCGUAAAACGGUGUUAGGAGGGAAGAACAUAUGUGUAAGUAACUGAGCACGUCUUGACGGUACCUGAUGAAAAAGCAACGGCUAACUACGUG